rnacentral:rRNA from 1 species
CAGCCGCCACGGUAAUACGAAGGGUGCAAGCGUUAAUCGGAAUUACUGGGCGUAAAGCGUGCGUAGGCGGUGAGUUAAGUCUGCUGUGAAAUCCCCGGGCUCAACCUGGGAAUGGCAGUGGAUACUGGCUCGCUAGAGUGUGUCAGAGGAUGGUGGAAUUCCCGGUGUAGCGGUGAAAUGCGUAGAGAUCGGGAGGAACAUCAGUGGCGAAGGCGGCCAUCUGGGACAACACUGACGCUGAGGCACGAAAGCGUGGGGAGCAAACAGGAUUAGAUACCCCAGUAGUCCCUGUCUCUUAUAC